GCUCCUCCUGCUCGGGGGCAAACGUGAAGACCACAGUUUUGUGCAGCAGGCUGCAGAGAGAAGAGGGGAGGGAGGAGGCAGGAGGUUUACGGGGCUCCCUGAAGCUCUGCGUCAUUUUUUCAGCUGGGCCUCUAAGGGGUCAGCCCCCUGCCUCUAGCUGCAGCACUUCCUCUGAUUUGCCCUAACGUCCUCUGAGCUUCCUGGGGGCCUGGAGUCUUUCUACUGCAGAAAUUUCACAAAGGUGUGGGCCCUCGUUUCCUGUUGGAAGUGUUUCCCUGCCUAGUAAUGCCAAGCUCACUGUGUCUUCAUGCCCUCCCUAAGGGUCUGAUCACUCUGAGACUUCUGAGGAUACCUUCUCAUCACAGGAGCUGGAUAUGGUCCAGAGACACCAGAGAAAGCUAAAUCCUUGGCCAACUCUGAGAAAGCACAGGUGUGUCUGUGACCAUGCAGAUCAAGAUACCCUAGGAGAUGAUGGAGCAACCAUGGAAGGAACCCAGGCUCCUGCAUAAUCAUGGGAGCUGAGCCAUCCCACUGACCUGGACCAUUUACUUCUGAGUCUUCUAUAAGAACAACAAUAAUAAAAAACUACAUUAUUUAAUCCACUGUA